UACGUAGGUGGCAAGCGUUGUCCGGAUUUACUGGGCGUAAAGAGCGCGCAGGCGGUCGUCCAAGUCGCGUGUGAAAGCCCCCGGCUCAACUGGGGAGGGUCACGCGAUACUGGUCGACUCGAAGGCAGGAGAGGGUAGUGGGAAUUCCCGGUGUAGUGGUGAAAUGCGUAGAUAUCGGGAGGAACACCAGUGGCGAAGGCGACUACCUGGCCUGUUCUUGACGCUGAGGCGCGAAAGCUAGGGGAGCAAACGGG
rnacentral:rRNA from 1 species